rnacentral:lncRNA from 10 species
AUUUCUGACAACAAUGAAAUAGUUUAUUUUCUUCAAAUAUUUUAAGGUACGAACGUCAGAAAUAAAAAUGCAGCAUUUAACCCUGGAACCUCAAAUAUCACUGAUUAUACUCAAAGGAGCAGAGGCAUUGUUUUCCAUCUGAUUCCUCAGUUCCUCACACACACAACCAUCCCCCUCACCCCAUGAUCUGAAAAGCGAAAUGAGGAAUUCACCCUAAAAUUAGUGUGGAGAAAACAAGCAAAUUAGGUUAUUUACUAAGUGACUACAUAAAAAACUGAGUAUGAGACCAAGAAAAAUAGAUUCUGUAGUUUUAGUUAAAAAAAAAAUUGACUUGUAAAUCCCAACUACUCGGGAGGCUGAGACACAAGAAUCGCUUGAACCCAGGAGGCAGAGGUUGCAGUGAGCUGAGAUUGCACCGCUGCACUCCAGCCUGGACAAUACAGCCAGACUCCAUCUCAAAAAAAAAAAUAAUUAAUAAAUAAAUAAAAUAAAUAUACUGAAAAUAUUUCACUCCACUAAGAUGUUAAGCUAAAAACAAAUACUGUUUUCUCUUCUUCAAUGUUUGUUAACAUUAGUCCUUAAUAACAUCUGUUUACAAUAUCCCUAAAUGCUCUCUUUAAGAUUCCACCUGUGAUUAAAUUUCAAAUACAAAAAAGUAAAACGGAUUUGGGAAACUUUUCUAUAAAGUACAGCAAUUAAUUUGCAAUCCAAAAUAUAAAGCAAAUUUUAUAUAAUUUAUGCUUUACUAUAUUAGUACUUGCUUCACAUUAAAAUUAAAGAUCAGUAUGGCACCACACAUGAAUAACAUGCAGGCUCAGGUUACCAUUAUACAUAAAUUUUUAAAAUAAAUAUAUGGCAAAAAUAAUAAUUGUCAUUCCAUUGAAAGAAUAUUUAUUUUGCAGCUGUUAAAAGACAUUUUUCCCUAAAAAAAGAAAAGCUGUGCUUUACAUAGCAAUCUUAUAAAAGAAAUGCUAGAAUCAGAAAACCAUCUUUUUAUUUAAAAAAAAAAGAGAACACUCCUUAUAUUUCCUUUAUAUUUUGUAAACUACAUACCCAAAAUAAAGCAUAUCAAAAACUGUAAAAAAAAAAAAAAAAAACCCUAAUAUCAGAUAUUCCAGACACAACAAUACCAUAAUUUAAUCACUUAAAAUCUUACUCAAAACUAAAUCAAUGAUCUUUUAGGCCAGGUGUGGUGGCUCAUGAUAGUAAUCACAGUACUUUGGGAGGCCAAGGCAGGAGGAUCACUUGAGGUCAGGAGUUCAAGACCAGCAUGGCCAACACAAUGAAAAUCCAUCUCUACUAAAAAUACAAAAAUUAGCCAGGCUAAUGGCACACUCCUGUAAUACCAGCUACUUAGGAGGCUGAGGCAGGAGAAUCGCUUGAACCUGGGAGGCAGAGGUUGCAGUGAGCCGAGAUCAUGCCACUGCACUCCAGGCUGGACAACAGAGCAAGACUCCGCAUCAAAAAAAAAAAAAAGAUAUUUUAAUAUAUUCAGAUACACAAAUAUGAAAUAAAACUAAGUAGAGCUGGUAUUCAUUUACACAUAAUUAUCUUAUACCGUUUGGAAUAAGAAUUUGGGGCACGUUAGCAAACCAAAAGGCUCAGAAAGACGUCGUGAUAUUUAGUUCUUGUCUCCCUCUACAAAUGUGAAGCACUCUUCUAUCCGGCAUUCCUAGUGGAGUUCCUAUUUUCAAAUUUGCAAAUCAUUCUGGUGCUAAGCAAUCUCAAAAAAAACAUUUACUAAAAACCAGAGGAAAAAAAUCUUAUAACUUUGGGAGGCUGAGGCAGAUGGAUCACUGAGAUCAGGAGUUUGAGACCAGCUUGGCCAACAUGAUGAAACCCCAUCUUCUCUAAAAAUACAAAAAGUUAGCUGGGUGUGGUGGCAGGUGCCUGUAGUCCCAGCUAUUCCAGAGGCUGAGGCAGGAGAAUCACUUGAACCUCUGAGGCGGAGGUUGCAGUGAGCUGAGAUCGCGCCAUUGCACUCCAGCCUGGGCAACAGAGUGAGACUCUGUCUCAAAAAAUAAAUAUAAAAAAAUAAAAAGCUGCUAUUCUCCAUUAAUACCUGCAGGCCCGACAAAGGCAGCCUAGGAAUUCUAGAUGAAUGGAAUGAAUACAACUUGCUGGAAGUUCUUAGGAAACAAAAUGACUAUUCACAGAACCAAAUAAAAGCCUUCCACUAGAAACUAAAAAUAAUAAUAAUAAUAAUAAUGGUUUUAUAUAUAUGCAUACACAAGCAAAGCCAGAAGAGAAUAAAUAGCAAAUGAAUGAAAACUAGAAGCAAAAACAAACAGGAAACCAUCUCUACAUUUUUUUUACUCAAUCGACCCUGAAUGCUACAGCAUUAUCCAGGGCCGCAGAAAACACACAUAAUACUUUAUUCCUGAUAAACAAUUCGAUGUCCUUAAGUCCGCCAAUAUCACCGUACAUUCUGUGCAAUCAAGAAAUUUACUCAGCU